rnacentral:lncRNA from 1 species
CACAAUUGCAAAUAAUCAAUAAUAUUUAAGUAUGUGUCCAAGAUCUAAAUGAUGAUGGAUAUAUUUAAAUAUUGCUUUUCAGGAAAUUACUACUUUACUGGUCAUGUAGUAACUUAUAAAACAUAUGGGUUGAAAGAAACACCAUCUUUUUCCUCAUCUCUCUUCAAGGUAUUUACCAUUUACUCUCAUUUUUAAUCCAAAUGACUGAAUUGCCUUCCAAGUACCACUGACUCCUAUUCUCUUUCAGUCCAUUUCAAUGUGUGUCAUACUGAGGUGCUAAACCACAUACUUUCUGCUGUGAGCUUUGUUAAGCGUUAAACCAAGAGUAGUAGCCUUAACUUAUCUAAAUAUAUUCUUUGUGUGUUCAAAAUCACUGUACAUUGUUUAUUACACCAUGACUGCUUGAGAGAAAAAAAAAGCAGGUCAUGCAGAGUGCUGCUUCCUUUCCUGAAUUACCAGCAGAUCACAGGUGUUUAUCAGACUCCCGGAGGUGAUUCAGGUAAUAAACACCAGGAUGGCAGUUUAAAUGGUUAGAAGCUUUUCCAUCAAAUACAGUCCUUGCAGUCCUAUCGUUUUGCAUAUAUUGCUCACAAAUGGCAAAUUAUUUAUGCAGCCUCCUUAAGUGGUUCCUUAUGGUUUUUACUUUAUUUUUCCAAAGCAGGAACCUUUUGAAGAUGUGUGUUCUCAUGACAAGGCAAACUAUCAUUCCAUCUAGAGGUCUUGAAAACAUUGAUCUCUUGUGAUUAUGAAUUUCCACAAGACAACCAUGGAUUAUCAUAAACAGGACCAUAAGUAAGUGCACAUGGCCUUUUGUGAAAGAAGAGAUAAUUGUGAGAUGCUGUGAGAUUUCAUUGUCACUGUGUUUUAAAAACCUGUAUAUCUCGAUCAUUUCUUCGCUAGUUAUAGGAUGCUAUUAAGCCUAUAUAUGUGUUGUACCAUUAGAAUAAGCAACUAUAUUAAUUCUACAUUUUUUCAGUAAAAAAACAUGAAAAACUGUGUAUAUAGAUGCAAAUAUAGGCAUGUAGAGGCUAGCUGUUAAAGCCUGAAAUUUAGUAGCUAGUACAUUCAUACUACUUUUGUUAUUAAUGUACGAGAGAAUGGUAGUGUAUGUGACUGACUGACAAGUCAUUCUAUUUAUGUUUACACUACAGAAUAUGGCAGGUUUGGGUAAUUAUGGUAUCACAUCAGACAACACUCUUUUAAGAAGUACUAGAGUAUAUAUUUUCAUGGCAAGGUCAGCAAUUUGCAUUUAGAGAGCUUUUAAGUUAGGUGCUACUGAGGUUUUCCUUUUAACUUCUGGGGUGCUGCUGGACACUGCAGGUGCUUUACAACCCGCUUUCACCCUUCUAUGAAGCUACCAGGCAUUGCAGGGCAUGGUGACAGUCCACUGGCCCCUGAAGAAUCAUUCACAGAACAAAGCAGAUGCAAUGGGGGAAGCACUAAAGGAGCUUGUGCAAUGCCUACUUGAAAAUUUCCUUUCAGGUAAAGGAUUGUGACAUAUUAUAUUUAACCACUUGUCUGGCUUUAUUUUUGAAAACUACUUUUAAAUAAUCCUCUGCUAAAUGAAAUGUAGACCUUAAAAAUUCAGACAAAUUCUGAAACCAGUGCUACUCACAGAUGAGUUUUACAUCUGAAAGCAGAAGGCAGCUCUCCAUCUUAUAAUCACUCUCUGAUCUUGCUAAAAUGUGUUUCUAUAACAUCUCAGUACAAAACAGGUAGCACUUAAGUUCUGCAGCAAGUUCU